UGAGGCCACACAAUAAUGUUCCUUGGAGAAAUAGAACUGCCUGAUGCCUCAGCCCUGGAAUAACUUUCAGUUGCUUCCCACAUUUGGUUUUUGCAAGUUACAUCUAUGCAAAGGAGUCAGUCCACAAGUUUUAAAUCUCCUCACUGUGGAGAGCAGUAUUCAGAGCCUGGGCAGAAAGAUCAUACUUUGUUGUGUAAAAUCUGGAGCAUCAACCUGCUUACAAAGAAAAGCUUUGGCCCUAAUCGUAGUCAGUCCCACAGCCUACCUUUGCACAAAGAUACGAUUUACCCCUCAUCUUGGAAAGUAUAUAUCUGACUCUAAUUUUCAUUGAAAAGACAUUCAGUUACACCUGUUAUGGAUCUGGUGCAUAAAACAUUUGAAUUUUAUUUUGCAAAAUACCAGUAUGGCAGGUUUUUGUCAACAACCUCAAACUCAGAUUGUUUGCCCUCCUGAUGGUGUCAAAAGUUGGACUCAUACGAGCCCUGAUGGCCUAGUGGUUAAUGUUUGGCACUGUCACUGCUUCA